ensembl:lncRNA
UGAUUAACUGUGCUGUAGGCAUCGGUGAUUAACUGUGCUGUAGGUAUCUGAGAUUAACUGUGCUGUAGGUAUCGGUGAUUAACUGUGCUGUAGGUAUCUGAGAUUAACUGUGCUGAUUGGUUAAUUGCAGCAUGAUGGAAGUCAGAUGGUUGGGUCUGGGCGGAGUUAAUCAUAUCCUACACAAAACUAGAACAUCUCCAUUCUAAUUUCAUCAACACUUCUCUCUCUCUCUCUCUCUCACACACACACACACACACACACACGUAGUAGCAGUCUCUGUUAUUCACAAUUCCAUAGUGGACAAACUUGACAAGACACUUACAGACCAUCACUAAUUAAAUUAAUGACUUUUCUUUGUUCUGAUUUGAUGUGUAAUAUUUUAAUUCCGAGUGGUGGAGUGGUGGAGGAGGAGUGGUGGGGGAGUGGUGGUUGGGGGA